rnacentral:rRNA from 1 species
GACGAACGCUGGCGGCGUGCUUAACACAUGCAAGUCGAGCGGAAAGGCCACUUCGGUGGUACUCGAGCGGCGAACGGGUGAGUAACACGUGAGUAAUCUGCCCUUGGCUUUGGGAUAGCCACCGGAAACGGUGAUUAAUACCGGAUACGACCACUUCUCGCAUGGGAUGGUGGUGGAAAGUUUUUUCGGCCAGGGAUGUGCUCGCGGCCUAUCAGCUUGAUGGUGAGGUAAUGGCUCACCAUGGCUUCGACGGGUAGCCGGCCUGAGAGGGUGACCGGUCACACUGGGACUGAGACACGGCCCAGACUCCUACGGGAGGCAGCAGUGGGGAAUAUUGGACAAUGGGCGGAAGCCUGAUCCAGCAACGCCGCGUGAGGGAUGACGGCCUUCGGGUUGUAAACCUCUUUCAGCAGGGACGAAGCGCAAGUGACGGUACCUGCAGAAGAAGCACCGGCCAACUACGUGCCAGCCGCCGCGGUAAUAC